GGAAAACUGCUACGAAAGAAUAUAAUGCAAUAGUAAAUAUCUAUGACUACGUGGACACCUGCGCGAACACACAAACGAAUUUGAAACGGAACCAUCAAAUGGCUUACCAAAUUGAUCCUCGAAUGGGCAAAGUCGUAUACGAUAAAAAUAUAAAGAAUAAACAAGAGGACAAAAAUAAGGAGAACAACGAAGAUAAAGACAAAGACAAAAGCAAAGACGCAAACGCAAACGCAAACGCAAACGCAAACGCAGACGCAGACGCAGACGCAGACAUGUAUACAAAACAUACCAAAAGAAAGUAUCAAAAAAUUGAUGAAUUCAUUAAAGCCAAAGAAAAUUUAUAUAAUGAGAAAAAAAAAGAUAAUAAUGAAAAUAAUCCAUUAUUUGUGCCUAUACGUAAUAAGUACGACGUUUUUAAAAAAAUGAAUACAAUAAUAAUACCAAACGAAACAAAAAUAAAAAAAACAGACAAAGGCAAAGAAAAUAUGAACCGUUGCCCAAAUAGUGACAUCAAAUUUGAAAAGAAUAUAAUACAAAAUAAAAAUGUAAUAACAAAUAAAAUAGAUAACAAAACAAAUAACGAUGAUAUAUUUUUAAUAGAUUACUCUAAAUUCUUAUUUAUAGAUACGCAAAAUGAAAACAAAACGAAUAAUUAUUUAAACGAAAUAAAAAAAAAAAAAGAUAACUAUUUUGUAGAAAAAGAUGAAAUUAAUAAAAUAAAAAAUUUUUACGUAAAAUUAGCGAUAAAGAAAAAAAAAUAUGCACACUUUUGGCAUAUGUUUUUUCAUAUCCUAUUAAAUUUUUGUAACGUUUAUGAAUUGGAUAAUGUUCAUUAUGAUUAUAAUAGUAGGGGGGGAACUGACAAUGAUAUGGGGAAGGAAAAACGUGAUAAAGGACAUACGGGUUGUGGUAGGGAGCAUACGUAUUAUGGUAGAGGGCAUACGGAUUGUGGUAGGGAGCAUACGGAUUAUGGUAGAGGACAUACGGAUUAUGGUAGAGGGCAUACGGAUUAUGAUAGAGAGCAUACGGAUUAUGGUAGAGAGCAUACGGAUUAUGGUAGAGGACAGGCAAAUCACGAGAACCACCAAACACAUCAUGACACAUUAAGUAACAAAGUAAUAAACAAAAAAGGUAAUUAUUAUUUUGAUUUCCAAACAAAUAACUGGAAAGAGUUUGAUAUCAUUAUGAAAAGGGUAAAAAACGAAAACAAAAACGACAAAACGAAUAAUAGUAGUCCUAAUUAUAAUUUAAGAGAAAAAAGUAACAAUAUUAAUUAUGUUUAUAAUACACAUUCUACGAAUGAUUCUAAGGACAAAAAAAAAAAAAAAAAAAAACAUAUAGGGGACACAAACUUAAACUGCUCAUAUUUGCAAGAUAAUAACAGUAAUAUGUACAAACACAUAAACAAAGUCAUUAAAAAUGGCAACGGUACUUAUCCAAACAAGAAUAAUGAAUGUACGGAUAUCAUUAAUAAUUCCUAUAAAUAUAACUUUAAAAAUGGUAAACCAAACAAUAUGAAACAUUUAUAUACUGAAUAUUAUUCGAAUUUCGAAAAAACAAGCACAAAAAAAACAAGUGACAAAUUAGAAGCUAAGCACCAUGAGGAAGCCAAAAUAAAAGAGAAGGAAAAAAACAAUAAAUAUUAUUUUAUUAAGGAUUCUAUAUCUAACAUAAAAAAUAUUAAAAAAAAAAUUCUUAAGGGUGAAAAGGAAACAAAGCAACGGCAUCAUUCGGAAAUGACAUACAACGUGGACACACAAAAUAAUCAUACAAUUGCAUUAAACAACCAACAUGAAAUUUUUGAAUAUACAAACGGAAACAAAAACGGAAACGAGAGGAAAAACAAGAAUAAGAACGAGAGCGAUAAAGAAAGCAAUAAUAGUAAUAGUAAUCGUCCUAUGAAAAGAAAAUUA
ensembl:lncRNA